rnacentral:rRNA from 1 species
GAUGAACGCUGGCGGCGUGCCUAAUACAUGCAAGUCGAGCGAACGGACGAGAAGCUUGCUUCUCUGAUGUUAGCGGCGGACGGGUGAGUAACACGUGGAUAACCUACCUAUAAGACUGGGAUAACUUCGGGAAACCGGAGCUAAUACCGGAUAAUAUUUUGAACCGCAUGGUUCAAAAGUGAAAGACGGUCUUGCUGUCACUUAUAGAUGGAUCCGCGCUGCAUUAGCUAGUUGGUAAGGUAACGGCUUACCAAGGCAACGAUGCAUAGCCGACCUGAGAGGGUGAUCGGCCACACUGGAACUGAGACACGGUCCAGACUCCUACGGGAGGCAGCGGUAGGGAAUCUUCCGCAAUGGGCGAAAGCCUGACGGAGCAACGCCGCGUGAGUGAUGAAGGCCUUCGGAUCGUAAAACUCUGUUAUUAGGGAAGAACAUAUGUGUAAGUAACUGUGCACAUCUUGACGGUACCUAAUCAGAAAGCCACGGCUAACUACGUG